CCACCACGCAGUGGCGCGCUCGCCCCCCACCUUCAUUAACCGCUGCCGGUGCACCUCGCCACGAUCCCACAAGUUCGGCCGCCGCCGACAUGAGGUUCACUUUGCCAUGGUAGCCUGGACGCCCCAGCAUUGCACCUCAAUCAUUGGUGGUGCAGUCUACACGCAUGCAUGCAUGGUGUCGUGCGGUGUGUGUGGCGUGCAGCUCGGAGCAAGCGGGCAUGAAGUUUAUCUUGCUGUUUGUGGUUUUUUUUGUGUGUAUUGAGUGUAUCUGGCUGGUAUAUGAUGUAUUGUGUGUAAAAAAAUUUAUUUGUUGAGAAGUUCAUUUCAACGAGCAUUAAUGGUUCUUUUUCAA